rnacentral:lncRNA from 1 species
CUUGGGUUCUUGCUUAACAUGGCUUCCAAAACAUCUGGUACUCGAUAAUCAGAGAUAAAAAGAAGAAAACAAAUCGUCAACAGUUUAUUCAUUACAACAGUAAGCUAUAUAUGUCUUCUAGUUCUUGUUAUAAAAUCUUCAAAUAAAAAAAAAAAAAGAAAAAAAAAAUACCUCUAUUUUUCCCUCUAUUGCUGCUUGAAUGGGUGAUCUUUUCUUAAACAGCUCAUUAAUGCGGUCUUGAUCUCGACACAAUUGAAGAAUCAAAAAGACGCAGUUUACAAAACCAGAUUUGGCUGCUAAGUACAGCGCACAUUCUCCUUCGUUGUUGUCGUAAUAUGAUACCUCAGGAUCUUUUUGGAUCAAAUAUUGAGCUAUUGAAUCGCUACCGUUGAUUAAUGCUUCAUGCAAUGCUGUGUUUCCUCUCUCAUUCUUUGCCCUUAAUAGAUAGUUCUCAUCUGCUCCAUUUUCAAAUUGCAACACCAACAUUUUCACCACUGAUUCAUAUCCAGCUUUUGCAGCAAGAUGCAACGCAGUUUCUCCAUUGUCGUUCUUGAUUAAUAGCAGUGAUGGAACCUUUGCAGCAAUGUAAGUUACUGCAUCUUCAUUUCCAUGUUUAGCUGCUAUAUGUAGAAGCGUAUUUCCAGCAGGGCUCACUCUACGCAAGAUUUCUCCAAAUUGUUUGGUUUCUGCUGAUGAAACUCGGUCCAGG